rnacentral:lncRNA from 1 species
AUCCCGACGAACCAAAAAAAAAAAAGAAAAGGUUCGGGCAAAAGUUAGGGAUAAAAUAGAAAAAAAUUGUACACCCGGUAAGUCGAAAACCCGCAAGGGCGGCUUAGGCAAAAAUGGGUAUCCCGGUGGAUUAAAAACCCGAAAGGGCGAUCCAGGCAAAAAUUAGGGAUUAGAGCGAAGACUACAGUCUGAGUUAUCUGUACUUCAUC